UAAACCAAGUCAGUGUACACUCCUUUUGUGUUACUACAAACCCUAAAACAUCCAACACCAUCAGCAGCCGACAUCCCCUUUCACCCCUCUGCUUUCUCUGUCCGAUGAUUGCGACCGGUGCCGGUUACCGGCCGGCUACCGGGGUCCCGUGCUUGCUGGCAUGUCAACCCACACAACCCCAAGCUCCAUCUUCAUCUUAACCCGUCGCACACACCGCUACCCUGUCCAAAGAGAGAGAGAGAGAGAGAGAUCGGAGAACAGGAGAGGGACCGAUAACCUAUGUCACGGCAACAGAAGCAGCAAGGGCGGCGUCAAUGGAUUCCGACAACUGUUUUUCAGGUAAAACGUAUCGGAGGAGCCGGCGACCGACUUACCGGCGGUGAUGAUGGUGGUGGUCGUCAGACAUGGCUACAGCACACGGGGGAGGGUGGCGGCGACUUUAAUUCCUUCCGACAGGUUCACCGUGAAGACACCCGACGGCGGUGGUGGCUGCCGCCAGAGCUUCGUUAAAGUUCAAAUUUGGUUCUAGUGCUUAGAUUCAGAUUUCAGAUUUUAUUCGGUACGGCUUCGUGACUUACGGAUCAGAUUCAGGAACGGUCAACAGUUAACCCGGUCAAAAUUAGCAAUUUCGGGUGUCGUUUCAGCGGGUUGUUCAGGUCUCGUUUCGGGUCAAGUAGCUUCGUUACAGGUUCGGGUGUCUAAUGAUUGUUUGGGUAUGGCAUUGUUGCUCAUGAAAUGGCUCUUGAAGAUGCUGGUCUUUGUGGUGAUAAACUCUUUAAGGUUUAUCAUUCUUUUGUUUGUUUUAUUUUCCCCAAAUCUGGUGGGGGGUUUUGGGUUUUGAAUUUAUUAGUUAAAAUGUGGUACUCAAGUGUUUAAUAUGUGUGUUUGAAGCGAUUAUCAAAGUUAUGGAUAAGCAAGUUGUUACACUUUCUUAUUAAUAAUUGGAAACUAAACUUGACUAACAUUUAGGCACACAUCGGAACAUUCUUGAAUUACUUAUGUGAUUCGCACACCACUUGAAACUACCCUCACCACACUCAUAAGUUUAAGAUCCUUAGUUACAAAAGGGCUCUGUCUUUGUCGCUUUAAUUUGCCAGACUCUAAUUGAUUCGAUGGAAUUGAAUGCUAAGGCUGGUUGAAUGGGAUUGAAUGCUCAGGCCGGUUGAAGGCCAGUUGAAUGGGAUCUUAGAUCGUCACUAAAAUUGAGAAGAGUCGGCCAACGUUUUUUACUUUCGUGUUUAUUGUCGAAAAUUUACAACUUGAUCCUUUAUUAUGUUUUUCAUAUACAUCUAUUUGUUACUCUGGCAAUUUUUAGAUGGUCUCUGUUGAAGAUGAUGAUCUUGCUUGAUUGGAAGAUGUAAGUUCUGAUGAUGAUGAUGAUGAUGAUAAUUAAGAAGUGGAAUUAUCUAACAUGGAAAAUUCAACUGGAAUACCACCUGCAAGAAAGCCUUACGGAAAGAAGAACACCAGGUAACUGUUUGAUCGAAUUUGCAACGCGGGUCGAUUCAAUGAGGAUGAGGCCCGAUUCUUCUUUCAACAACUGAUUUCUGGAGUCAGCUAUUGUCACUCUAUGCAAGUUUGUCACCGUGAUUUGAAGCUAGAGAACACGUUGUUGGACGGAAGUCCUGCUCCUCGUUUGAAGAUUUGUGAUUUCGGAUAUUCCAAGUCUUCAGUGCUGCAUUCACAGCCAAAGUCUACGGUUGGUACAUCAGCAUACAUUGCUCCUGAAGUGUUGCUUAGGCAAGAGUAUGAUGGAAAGGUUCAUUAUGAACCAACAUUUUCUGCUGCUCAUCAUCCAGACUGGCAGGUGCAUUAUAUAGCAGAAGAUCACCUCAACCGACCCAGAUUUCUAGGAAGAUUGAAGUAGUUGGUUUGGAGAUAAUGAGUCUAAAAAUAAGGAGAAAACUUGCAAGAGGAGUGGAGAUCAUGGGCCUAGAUUUCUGGAGCAAAACCACCAGCAGAAAACUGCAAAUAACCUCCAUUAGAGUGGUUAUUUUUGGGAGUUUAAAGGGCUGAGAUUUAAUCUCAGCAUGAUCCGACGGUCGAGAUGGAUUUCAAAGGAACAUGGACAGAAAAACUGCUCAAUAGUGGGAUAGUGCUGCUCAGAACUGCUGUUCGGUUCAGUUUAGGAACAUGGACAGAAACUGCUCAAACGUGGGAUGGUGCUGCUCACAACUGCUCAGAACUGCUCAGAACUGAUGUCAACAGCAGUUAAAAUUAAGAGUUUAUACGGCCCAGAUUUAAUCUCAGCAUAAUCGAACGGAUGAUAUUGAUUUCACCAAUAACUCCCACUUAAUGGGUUCCAUAUAUAUAUAUAAUUAUGAUCUUUCACUAUUUCAAAUUGCAACAAACUACUAGUGAUGGCCCAAACUGCCAAAGGCCUAGUUUACGUUAUUACUUUUUGGAAGCCCGCUAGAUUGAUUUGGGCUUUUAUGGACAAUUAGAUAUCUGUUUAGUACUAAACUGAUCCAGUCCAGUAGUUUGGUUAAUAACGUCAUGAAACGAGCAAUAUACAAUUUUGAUUUUCGAUUA